GAGAGUUAAGAGCACGUGAAAUCGGUAAGGUGGAAACGGAUAGAGUUAACGUAUCUGAUUUGUGUUCAGCUGUUAAUUGUUUGUAAUGUAUAAUUUUAAAAGUGUGUUAGUAGUUUACUGCCGUACAUUGCUUUUUAGUUUACAUCUGCAUCAAUUAGCGGUGCAUUUACAAAUCUAUGUGCGCUGGAACAUGUGCGUGGGUUGCUGGAUUCACAAGAAGAUCUUUACAAUUUAUUGUAUUGAGCAAACUUGUUGUUAUAAGGCAAUUCUGCGUGCAUGUCUAAUGAUUUUUUGGGGUAUGGCAUUAGCGAAUGCAUUUUGUGUAUGGUUUUGCAGCGUAUGUCGGUCGCUUGCGACACGUAUAUUGUUUUGCAAAAAAUUUAAUAUACAUUUUGCUUCACUUGCCCGCUUCCAGUGUAAAAGUUAAUUAUCUAUCCGACCCGUCUUGAAACACGGACCAAGGAGUUUAACGUAUACGCGAGUCAUUGGGUGAUAAAACCUAAAGGC
rnacentral:rRNA from 1 species